UCAGCAGAGAAUGGCAGUAUAAAAAGCGUAUCUUCCCCUCGCGUUUCCUCCUCCUGCCUCAAACAGCGAGUCGGAGACCGCCAUAUGUGUUCGAAAGAGAGAACGUGGUUAUUGAGUAACCAGAUGGCAAGGUUUCUCGAUAAGAUGGUCAUGGUUAUGGCUUCUGUGAGCAACUAAGUCUUCUGGUGAGUUUGUACUGCCAUUGCCAAUAAAAUGGUCUUGACUUCAAUUCUUUUUCCCUGGAGGAAUUAGUUGAGUAAGGCAGUAUUGAGAUGGAUUCUGGUCUGGUUUGUCCUGCUGGCCGUGAAUGGGAAAUGCCCUAGCAGAAGAAUAAGUGAAGCAAGGGCUGGAAAAUGAAUAGCAUCAAUAGAUGCCAAAGUAGAAACUCAUUUCUCUUCCUUUCUUUCAAUAUUUGAUCAUUGUAUAUAAGCCAAGCUAGCAGAUUUACACAAGUGCAAUAAACACCUAGAUGUAGUAAUUAUAUGAAAGAUUAAUUGCUAUUGGUUCUGUACUAGUCGAUUCUUCUUUUGGGAGAAGUCGUCAUACCCCGGAUGAUUUUGUUACAAUGCAUGAGAAGCAAAUUUUUUGGAUACAA